rnacentral:rRNA from 1 species
AUAGGAAUGCUUAGUGGCGGACUGGUGAGUAACGCGUGAGGAACCUGCCUUUCAGAGGGGGACAACAGUUGGAAACGACUGCUAAUACCGCAUAACAUAUAGAUGUCGCAUGGCAUUUAUAUCAAAGAUUUAUCGCUGAAAGAUGGCCUCGCGUCUGAUUAGCUAGUUGGUGAGGUAACGGCCCACCAAGGCGACGAUCAGUAGCCGGACUGAGAGGUUGAACGGCCACAUUGGGACUGAGAUACGGCCCAGACUCC